AACCGGAUUAGAUACCCUGGUAGUCCAUACCNNNNACGAUGAAUGCUAAGUGUUGGAGGGUUUCCGCCCUUCAGUGCUGCAGCUAACGCAUUAAGCAUUCCGCCUGGGGAGUACGACCGCAAGGUUGAAACUCAAAGGAAUUGACGGGGGCCCGCACAAGCGGUGGAGCAUGUGGUUUAAUUCGAAGCAACGCGAAGAACCUUACCAGGUCUUGACAUCCUUUGACCACUGUAGAGAUACAGCUUUCCCUUCGGGGACAAAGUGACAGGUGGUGCAUGGUUGUCGUCAGCUCGUGUCGUGAGAUGUUGGGUUAAGUCCCGCAACGAGCGCAACCCUUAUGACUAGUUGCCAGCAUUUAGUUGGGCACUCUAGUAAGACUGCCGGUGACAAACCGGAGGAAGGUGGGGAUGACGUCAAAUCAGCAUGCCCCUUAUGACCUGGGCUACACACGUGCUACAAUGGUCGGUACAACGAGUUGCGAACCCGUGAGGGUAAGCUAAUCUCUUAAAGCCGAUCUCAGUUCGGAUUGUAGGCUGCAACUCGCCUACAUGAAGCCGGAAUCGCUAGUAAUCGCGGAUCAGCACGCCGCGGUGAAUACGUUCCCGGGCCUUGUACACACCGCCCGUCACACCAUGAGAGUUUGUAACACCCGAAGUCGGUGGGGGUAACCCUUUUAGGGAACUAGCCGCCUAAGGUGGGACAGAUGAUUGGGGUGAAGUCGUAACAAGGUAACC
rnacentral:rRNA from 1 species